UGUUACAGUUUCUGAUGUUUUAACUGCCUACUCAUCACCCACAACACUAAAUUGCCAUAGUAGCACACGGUGUUGGCAGUGACAUGCUGUGGGGAUGUUGUCCUUCAGUUUGGACAGGGAUGCUAACCAGAUUUGUUGAGAAGAUGGGUAGACCCCCGUCCUGGGCGGACCUUAAGAAAAUACUAAUGUUCACCAACACUAUUCUACGGCGCUGGAACUAGUUUGCAAAGAAGAAUAGCCAACAAACAGACAUCUUAGAAAGCAGCAGAACUUUCCAACCAACUGGGUUUCCAUUGCAGUUAUUGUUCAAAAGCAUGGCACUGUACAGAUAACAUGAAUUGAAACUGAACUCCAAUCCAUUAUCCAAUCCAUUGUUCCAGAAGGAAACAGCCUACAACAACAACUAC